GAUGAACGCUAGCGGGAGGCCUAACACAUGCAAGCCGAGCGGUAUUGUUUCUUCGGAAAUGAGAGAGCGGCGUACGGGUGCGUAACACGUGUGCAACCUGCCUUUAUCUGGGGGAUAGCCUUUCGAAAGGAAGAUUAAUACUCCAUAAUAUAUUGAACGGCAUCGUUUAAUAUUGAAAGCUCCGGCGGAUAGAGAUGGGCACGCGCAAGAUUAGCUAGUUGGUGAGGUAACGGCUCACCAAGGCGAUGAUCUUUAGGGGGCCUGAGAGGGUGAUCCCCCACACUGGUACUGAGACACGGACCAGACUCCUACGGGAGGCAGCAGUGAGGAAUAUUGGUCAAUGGGUGCAAGCCUGAACCAGCCAUCCCGCGGGAAGGACGACUGCCCUAUGGGUUGUAAACUUCUUUUGUAUAGGGAUAAACCUACCCUCGAGAGGGUAGCUGAAGGUACUAUACGAAUAAGCACCGGCUAACUCCGU
rnacentral:rRNA from 1 species